GGCUGGUCUGAUGGCAGUGGGUUAUCAGAACUUAUUAACAUUAGUGUCACUAAAGUUGGUAUACCACCCCCCCACUGCUAAAUUUGACUGGCUUAAA
ensembl:misc_RNA Y_RNA Y RNA